rnacentral:tRNA from 1 species
GCGAAUAUAGCUCAGUUGGUUAGAGCAUUACACUGUGGUCGUAAAUGUCGCAGGUUCGAGUCCUGCUAUUCGCC